rnacentral:lncRNA from 1 species
ACACCUCAUUGAAUCCAUGGUGUGGACAGUCCGUCUGAUGAAAGUGUUGAGCAGCUACACCUCAUUGAAUCUGAUCCAAGAGCUUCUGAAGGACUCUGUAGGCUCCUGGGUGAAUAUGGCAAUCUUUCUCCUCAAGUCUUCAACACGCGCCUCAUCAAAGAAGUUUCAUAGGAAUGCAUUCUUGAUGUCGGCCAAGGAUGUGAGAGAUCCUGGUGGUAACUGCUUAAGCUAAUGCGAAGCCUCUCCAGCAAGUGAGUACUUGAAGAGCUUGCAAAGUAGGUAGUCUUCAUGGACUCAUUU